CCUCUGGUCACGUGGAGAAGGAGCGUGCCGUGCCUGGUGUGGCUUGUUUUCGCAAAGUCUGGAGCACUGCACACCACCACGGAAGAAAUGGGGGUUUGCUGGCUGAAGGAGCUCCACCAGGCAGUGGGAGGAGCAUGUCUCUCGCCGGGCUGCUGUGCCUGUGGCUCGGCUGCCUGCUGCUCCACGGUGGUGCGGCGAAGCCCCUGGGCCCCCCCUGCCCCUGCCCUGACUACCUGCAGAGCGACUGUGACAUGCAGGGCUUUGCCGAUGGCCCCGUGCCCGCCGGCAAGUCCUUCUACAUCGACUUCGCCAGGCGGCUCUGCACCUGCGGCCCCAGCGGCAACAUCACCUGUGCCUCCCGCUGCCCCGCCGUGCCAGCCGCCUGCGCCGCCGUGGGCAGCCCCAUGGCCGACGGCUGCCCCCAGUGCAUCUGCUACGACGAGGAUGAGCUGCCGGUGCCUGCGGGGGCCGUCACUGCCCGGGGUGCCCAGGUUUGCACCUGCCCCCCACAGGGAGGCCAGCUGCAGUGCAGUGGCAGCAAAAGCGAGGAAUAAAUCCACUUUCCGCCUCCUCUGCGUUACCCCAAGGCGGGAGGCUUUCUGCACCUUGGGGCAUCCUCACUGAGCAGCUUUAAAUGCUUCGAGCUGUCCUGUACAGCUCGGUAGUGAUUACGUCCGUGCCACAGAGUGCUGGAGGGAGACCGCGUUUUAUGUCAUUUAUAAGCCAGGUCAAAACAUUUAUAGCUGGGUGAUCUUUUCUGUCGUAAGGUUUGCUCCAUGGCGGUGGGCAGCAAGGUUAGAUUGGUUGCUGCUAGAAUGUAAAUGAAACCAAAGCGGUUAUUUAUUUAUUUGUGAGAUGAUGGUCCUCUUGUAUGUAUGUUUAUAUAGUGCAUAGAUAGUACUGCUUUAAGUUAACUUACCAGAUAAACUUUGCUCCAGGAUCUAGGCUUUAGCUUCUUAGAAAUCCAUCAGAUUCGAAUUGGUGGGACCAAAAUCAUCUACAGUCCCCCCCCUGCCCAGGCUUUUUGUCUCUUCCUCACUCCAGACRGAGGUUGGUGGGGGGGGCAGCUGAUGGGUUAGCACAUGUACACGCUCUUAAAAGGAGGCAAACCCCCUCCAGCUUCUUCAUCUGUUGGAGCAAAGCCUUGAAAGUUGAUAUGAGGGAUGUAGCCUUCGAAGCCACCUCAACAAAACAGCUACCCAAGCCUGACCCCGCUGCAAGUCCCUGCAGAGCCCCGGUACACUAGAAAUACUGAGUUGUGCAUCUCCACCUCACCUGUGCUCUCCUCGUCCAACUACUGAGAACCAACCAAGGAUACACCAGAACUUCAUUUUCUGAAUGCCUUAGAAGUAUAUAUAUAUGUAUAUAUAUAUAUGUAAUGUGUAUUUGCAGGAAGACUGUAAUCAAAAAUACAGCUUAAUCAGGCUGAGAUAUUAACGAAUGCUAAUUGUGUUUUUUUUCAAGAGGCUGAAUAAAAUCAAUUUUACCGAUAAACU
ensembl:lncRNA